UACGGGGGGGGGCAAGCGUUGUUCGGAAUUACUGGGCGUAAAGGGCUCGUAGGCGGCCAUCUUAGUCGGACGUGAAAUCCCUCGGCUCAACCGAGGAACUGCGUCCGAUACUGGAUGGCUCGAAUCCGGGAGAGGGAUGCGGAAUUCCAGGUGUAGCGGUGAAAUGCGUAGAUAUCUGGAGGAACACCGGUGGCGAAGGCGGCAUCCUGGACCGGCAUUGACGCUGAGGAGCGAAAGCCAGGGGA
rnacentral:rRNA from 1 species